UCUAAUAAUGGGUAUUUUGUGCCCAUUUACAUAUUCCGUUCAUUUACUCUUUAAUGGGUGAAAAAUUUCUUGACAACAAUCGGUCAGACAAUUUUAAAUACUUCAAAGUGUUUUCGCAUAAUAACUAAAUAAGUUUGCAGAAAUGCGGGAAGGUUCAAGGAUGCUUUGGAUGCCGAGUACAUCACUUAUGAAUUGCAAGAAUCUCCAGCCCCAUUUCCCAGGUCCGAAAACAAAUCCAAUCCCUGAUGGAUGAUUCUUCUGCAUCGGAACAAUAUAUUUUAUAAUGUAAUAAAUAAAUUGUUUUCUAUUGAUCAGA